rnacentral:rRNA from 1 species
AAUAGCUCACUAGUCGAGUGACACUGCGCCGAAAAUGUACCGGGGCUAAACAUAUUACCGAAGCUGUGGAUUGUCCUUUGGACAAUGGUAGGAGAGCGUUCUAAGGGCGUUGAAGCAUGAUCGUAAGGACAUGUGGAGCGCUUAGAAGUGAGAAUGCCGGUGUGAGUAGCGAAAGACGGGUGAGAAUCCCGUCCACCGAUUGACUAAGGUUUCCAGAGGAAGGCUCGUCCGCUCUGGGUUAGUCGGGUCCUAAGCUGAGGCCGACAGGCGUAGGCGAUGGAUAACAGGUUGAUAUUCCUGUACCACCUAUAAUCGUUUUAAUCGAUGGGGGGACGCAGUAGGAUAGGCGAAGCGUGCGAUUGGAUUGCACGUCUAAGCAGUAAGGCUGAGUAUUAGGCAAAUCCGGUACUCGUUAAGGCUGAGCUGUGAUGGGGAGAAGACAUUGUGUCUUCGAGUCGUUGAUUUCACACUGCCGAGAAAAGCCUCUAGAUAGAAAAUAGGUGCCCGUACCGCAAACCGACACAGGUAGUCAAGAUGAGAAUUCUAAGGUGAGCGAGCGAACUCUCGUUAAGGAACUCGGCAAAAUGACCCCGUAACUUCGGGAGAAGGGGUGCUCUUUAGGGUUAACGCCCAGAAGAGCCGCAGUGAAUAGGCCCAAGCGACUGUUUAUCAAAAACACAGGUCUCUGCUAAACCGUAAGGUGAUGUAUAGGGGCUGACGCCUGCCCGGUGCUGGAAGGUUAAGAGGAGUGGUUAGCUUCUGCGAAGCUACGAAUCGAAGCCCCAGUAAACGGCGGCCGUAACUAUAACGGUCCUAAGGUAGCGAAAUUCCUUGUCGGGUAAGUUCCGACCCGCACGAAAGGCGUAACGAUUUGGGCACUGUCUCAA